rnacentral:rRNA from 1 species
GAUCCACUCGUUCCCAUCCCGAACACGACCGUUAAGCCCUCCAGCGCCGAUGGUACUUGGGGCGAAGGCCCCCGGGAGAGUAGGACGUUGCCAGGC